UCUUCCGUAGCUCAGUCCGGUAGAGCAUGAGACACUUAAUUUCAGGGUUGUGGGUUUGAGCCCUAUGUUGGGCAAAA